rnacentral:rRNA from 1 species
UACGUAGGGGGCAAGCGUUGUCCGGAAUCAUUGGGCGUAAAGCGCGUGUAGGCGGCUCGAUAAGUCUGCUGUAAAAGUCCAGGGCUCAACCCUGGAAUGCCGGUGGAAACUGUCGAGCUAGAGUCCGGAAGAGGCGAGUGGAAUUCCUGGUGUAGCGGUGAAAUGCGCAGAUAUCAGGAGGAACACCAAUGGCGAAGGCAGCUCGCUGGGACGGUACUGACGCUGAGACGCGAAAGCGUGGGGAGCAAACAGG